CACAGGGAUUGCCCUAGUAACGGCGAGUGAAGCGGCAACAGCUCAAAUUUGAAAUCUGGCUCCUUUGGGGUCCGAGUUGUAAUUUGUAGAGGGUGCUUUGGCGUUGGUUGUGGUCUAAGUUCCUUGGAACAGGACGUCACAGAGGGUGAGAAUCCCGUACGUGGCCGCCAGCCUCCGCCGUGUAAAGCCCCUUCGAUGAGUCGAGUUGUUUGGGAAUGCAGCUCUAAAUGGGAGGUAAAUUUCUUCUAAAGCUAAAUAUUUGCCAGAGACCGAUAGCGCACAAGUAGAGUGAUCGAAAGAUGAAAAGCACUUUGGAAAGAGAGUCAAAAAGCACGUGAAAUUGUUGAAAGGGAAGCGCUUGCAGCUAGACGUGCCUUGGGUUGAUCAGCCGGACUUUUGCCCGGUGCACUCUUCCUUUGGCAGGCCAGCAUCAGUUUGGGCGGCUGGAUAAAGGUCUGUUAAACGUGACUUCCUUCGGGGAGAGCUUAUAGGGCAGACGACAUGCAGCCAGCCUGAACUGAGGUCCGCGCAUCUGCUAGGAUGCUGGCGUAAUAGCUGUAAGCGGCCCGUCUUGAAACACGGACCAAGGAGUCUAACAUCUAUGCGAGUGUUUGGGUGUCAAGCCCGAGCGCGUAAUGAAAGUAAACGGAGGUGGGAGCCUUUUAGGUGCACCAUCGACCGAUCCUGAUGUCUUCGGAUGGAUUUGAGUAAGAGCAUAGCUGUUGGGACCCGAAAGAUGGUGAACUAUGCCUGAAUAGGGUGAAGCCAGAGGAAACUCUGGUGGAGGCUCGCAGCGGUUCUGACGUGCAAAUCGAUCGUCAAAUUUGGGCAUAGGGGCGAAAGACUAAUCGAACUAUCU
rnacentral:rRNA from 1 species